rnacentral:tRNA from 1 species
UGGUGUAGCCCGGCCAAGCAUGGAGGCCUUUCGAGCCUCAGACCCGGGUUCAAAUCCCG